rnacentral:rRNA from 1 species
GAUGAACGCUGGCGGCGUGCCUAAUACAUGCAAGUCGAGCGAACGGACGAGAAGCUUGCUUCUCUGAUGUUAGCGGCGGACGGGUGAGUAACACGUGGAUAACCUACCUAUAAGACUGGGAUAACUUCGGGAAACCGGAGCUAAUACCGGAUAAUAUUUUGAAUCGCAUGGUUCAAAAGUGAAAGACGGUCUUGCUGUCACUUAUAGAUGGAUCCGCGCUGCAUUAGCUAGUUGGUAAGGUAACGGCUUACCAAGGCAACGAUGCAUAGCCGACCUGAGAGGGUGAUCGGCCACACUGGAACUGAGACACGGUCCAGACUCCUACGGGAGGCUGCAGUAGGGAAUCUUCCGCAAUGGGCGAAAGCCUGACGGAGCAACGCCGCGUGAGUGAUGAAGGUCUUCGGAUCGUAAAACUCUGUUAUUAGGGAAGAACAUAUGUGUAAGUAACUGUGCACAUCUUGACGGUACCUAAUCAGAAAGCCACGGCUAACUACGUG